rnacentral:sRNA from 1 species
UUGGCUCAGUAAUACCCAUGGAUAGGCUGUCCAUGGUGAGGGAGAGUCUGAGUGAAGGAGGGGAGGAGAGAAGACAUUGAUUUCAAGCUACUUACCUCCUACCCAACUGCAGAACCCUCACACAGAACAAUGGGCUGGUCAUUUGGUACUGAACAACUAAUUGGUGUGCUCUUCCCUGGGAAAGGUCCCCAGGAGAAGACUUUGAUAACAAGUACAUUGGAGCCACGAGACACUGCCAACAGUGACACAGUGCAGAACGGUGACACUGGUCUGUAAGCAUCUUAACCAUGGCCUUCCUUGCACCGGGACAGAUUCAUGCCACGGAAUCAGUGUGGUGCUCAAUGCAGAAGAUUGAAGCCAUUGUUGAAAACAAUGCGUUUCCGCAUCUACCCAUCCCACAAGGAACCAAAUCAAGGCACAGAACAUACAGAAAUGUUUCUCAUGUCCAGUAGAGACACUGUGGCUGGUCUUCCUAAUUUCCAACUCGCUCUAUGUCCCCAGUCUUCAGAACAACCCCACCUGGAGUGAUGCCGUACGCUUUUAUCUCCACACUGAAGAUGGUGAAAUGGUGGCUGCGAGCUUUGGCGAUGGCCCGCCUGUGGAAGGACGUGUCUCAAGGGCCCAAGCCAAUGGUGAUCAAAUGUAGUCUGCUAUGGAUUCCAGGAAAUGACUGACCGAAAGACCACAGUACUGCAGAAGCCCUGUAAUGAGAGGGCAACGGACUCAUAAAUGGGCGAAGGAAGGGAUUGGCUCGUGAACUGUCCCUCUCCGUGAGUCCAUGGUUCCGCGGGUCCACGGCUUCUUUCAGCAAAGCUGUACAAUACCAUGCAGCCCUCUGCCAGCAGAUCUGUUACUAAAGGAAUUCAUGCAUCUUGCAUCUUGAAGAUGCAUUAUUAAUGCUUGGACAAAUCACAUCAGGUGAAGCCCAGCAAGUCCCUGGCACUGCAGAAAAGGAACAAAGGCUGGUUCUACAAGGGAGCAAUGGAUGAGACAAAUUAUAACAGCUGGGAGU